CCAACCCCGAGAUCUGAGCCUCUACUUUUUUAGUCAAUCCUCUUUGCAGUGCAAAGUUUGCACACAACCCCGAAAUCUUUUGGCGUGGGAGUUGUUUGUUGCUUGUCUUUAUUAUGAUUUAUUAGGAUUAACAUUUAUAUUCAACACUGCAAAACUGGUGAUGUGUUAAUAUUGCGGGAAGACGCAAGAGAAAAGCAAACAUUUAUCCUUUCAUCGAUUUCCGCCAGUUGGAAAAUUGAGAGAGCAAUGGGUAAUGAACAUGGGCCGAAGUAAUUGAACGCCAAAGGACUGGUAUAUGCUUUGCUCAGAGCAUUUUUUGAAGGAAUCAAUCGAUGUUCGUGAUGAGAGGGCAAGGCUACGGAAGGGUACUGUUCCAAUGAUUUUCAAUCACGAUAAAGAAAAUUCCUCCCUGCAAUUACCUGAAUAAUCAAUUAACAGUCUGAAUAAACGGAUAAAGCUUGAUGGAGAUUCAGAAGGUGGGCUAGGACCAAAAAGGCUCUCCACACCACUGAGUGAUCAUCCUCUCAAUGUUCAAACGAAGGGAUUGGGGAAAACGCCGUCAUCACCGGCCCCUCAAUUGCCGUUUGAAAAUACAGAUUCGACGAGUGGAGUUUCACCAGGACUCUUCAACGUUCUUCUGCAUAACCACACUUAUGCAGAGUAUGGAGAUGUCAUUCAGCGUAAACUCAACUCUGCUCGCGUAAAAAUUUACCAGCUGUUAGCAGAAAAGAAGAAAUUGAAACAAGAAUUUACGCUAUCAGGGCAAAGUAGAUAGCCUAAAGGAUAUUGUGGCUGCACUUAGAGAAGCCGAUCAUCUUCGAGAAGAUGGUUGGUACAGUCUCGAUGGUUUUGGCGAUAUUUCUACCGAGCUUUUCAAACGCAUGCAUGUCAAUAUCACGCGACAGAAACUUUCUAAAGAGAAAUAUUCUCCACAAUUAAGGUGUUUUGCCCUUACCCUUCAUUUUUAUUCUCCCAAGGCAUAUAAUUAUGUUAGAGAAACUUUAGAAGCCGCUCUACCUCAUCCCAGUGUUCUACGAUCGUCGUAUAGUACUGUAGAGGCAGAGCCUGGGUUCUCUGAGGAAUGCUUCCAUACUUUAAAAGUUAAAAGUGAAGAGUACCAUAAGGAGAACAAAUGCCUAAUUUGUGCGAUGAUGAUAGAUGAAAUGGGCAUAAAAUCUGGAUUACAACACACGAGGGAUGUGAAAAUGCGUGGCUAUGUAGAUAUUGGUGUUGGGGCAGCUGGAAAAUAUGAAUUUGCAAUGGCCAAAAAUGCUCUAGUUUUUCUUGUAGUUUCUCUUGAUGAAUCGUGGAAACUCCCGGUAGCUUUUUUUCUUAUUGACGGUAUGUCUUUUCAAACUAAGAAGAAUGUUAUCAACGCAUAUCUUACAAGACUUGCAGAUGCCGGUUUUUAUUUUUUAAUAAUUUUUUUUUCCCUUUUAACCGAAGAUAUCAAGUAUUUUCAAAUUCCAUGCGUAGG